rnacentral:rRNA from 1 species
GACGAACGCUGGCGGCGUGCUUAACACAUGCAAGUCGAACGGAAAGGCCCUGCUUUUGUGGGGUGCUCGAGUGGCGAACGGGUGAGUAACACGUGAGUAACCUGCCCUUGACUUUGGGAUAACUUCAGGAAACUGGGGCUAAUACCGGAUAGGAGCUCCUGCUGCAUGGUGGGGGUUGGAAAGUUUCGGCGGUUGGGGAUGGACUCGCGGCUUAUCAGCUUGUUGGUGGGGUAGUGGCUUACCAAGGCUUUGACGGGUAGCCGGCCUGAGAAGGUGACCGGCCACAUUGGGACUGAGAUACGGCCCAGACUCCUACGGGAGGCAGCAGGGGGGAAUAUUGCACAAUGGGCGGAAGCCUGAUGCAGCAACGCCGCGUGCGGGAUGACGGCCUUCGGGUUGUAAACCGCUUUCGCCUGUGACGAAGCGUGAGUGACGGUAAUGGGUAAAGAAGCACCGGCUAACUACGUGC